rnacentral:misc_RNA from 1 species
GACAUAACCAUCGCGAGUGGUGGCGGUCUGCAAUGUCAGCAAACUUGGAACGUUGCGCGCUUCGAGAGGAAGUUGGGUAAUUUGUUUGUUGACAAAAGUAGUACCCAACGUGGCGUCGUCUCGAUUCACCAGAAGUUCGGCCGAGUUUGCGGAAACGGUCACUGACUCACUGACCGACCCGAUCUCCAGGACAACUUCAACUGGAGUGGGACUGGAGACCAACGCGUGCACGUCAGUAACAACACCUUUCUUGAAACCGGCCGCUUCGACUUCGAUCGUGUAGUCACUAACGGGCACUGCCUCAAAGGUAAAGUUACCGUCACCCGUAGUUGUCGUCGUGCGAGAAGCACUCGACGACAUGUUGGUCAACUUUACUGUGGCGCCUGCAACGACGUUACCUUGCGGGUCUUUCACAGUACCUCGAAUACU